ACAACUUCUGUAUGAAGUGCUCGGGCAUUGGAGGCUUAUAAGGGGUAGCUCGAUCGGCCUAUAGGGGUCUAGGCCGAUCGGCCUAGCCCGUUUUUGGCUCUGAUCAACCUCCCCUUUCACCAAGAGGAAGCCCACGACGUUCCUAGGGUUUUUCUUCAGAUACUUUGCCUCAAAGGCACCCCAACUGACACCGCCAACUAUAAAUACUGUUGAUGCCAGAUUUUGACACGUAUGAAAUCGGUG
rnacentral:lncRNA from 1 species